rnacentral:lncRNA from 1 species
AAACCUAUAGAGGAACAAUCACAAGUGACUAGUAUUAUUCCUUUGGGUCCAGUGGAAGCCUCUGAUCUUCAUAUGGAAUGGACCCGGAACCGUAACCCAGCAUUUUGUUAUAUAGCAGCCUUACCUCUGCCACAAAGGUGUUUCUUUUGUUUAUUUUGAGGCCAGGUCUCGCUCUGUUAUACAGGCUGAGUGCAGUGGUGCAAUCUUGGCUCACUGCAGCCUCUGCCUCCUGUGCUCAAGUGAUCCUCCC